rnacentral:lncRNA from 1 species
ACUUGGUCUGUUAAACCUCCUGCGGUGGGGGAUGAUUCCCAUCUGGGUGGUAGGUAUCCUGCCUGGCUCUGGAGGGAACCUCAGACUUUUAGUUGCUGCCUGAGUCCAUUUGCUUUGCUGUCAUUUUUGUGAUGCUCAUUUGCAGAUAGCUGGCCACGGCCAUUUCACGAGUGGACAAGACCCUGCUGAAAUGACAUCUAGGGCAACUUUGGUGUGUCUGAUGUCUUCUGCAAGGCCACGGCGCCGGUCUGUUCGCUUGGGUGGGAAAAGUGCACGUGGCCAAGGUUCAUCUCCUGGAGACACUGAAUAGGGUGGCACUCAUGGCUCUCUCUAUAGCCAAAGAAGAGAAAUUUGUCACUUGUAGAGGGUGAGGCAUCUGCCCUGUCUAUGGAUGAGAUGAAUCACAGCCCAAUUUCUCUUGAUUGGCCUUAAUGGGAGAGUAAAGCAAUUAGUGGAAUGGAUGGGGAUACUUCAGGAGCCUCACGCUGGACAGGAUGGAUGCUUCCUUUGAUCACCUCGGCUGGAUAAGGACCUACGCCUCCUACAUCUGACAGGUCUGAAAAGGAUGGGUGAGAGCUUAGGGUUCAACCACGUGUGAAACAUUAUCUGUGCUCCUGGGUGGCUGGUGGCACUCUGACCUCAAGGCUGCAACAAAAUCCGGGUGCAAAGUAAAGACCUGAAAAUGGACAGAGAGCUACUUCUGGGGCUGAUAGUGGAUUAAUUCAGUCUGUUUUCAAAUAUACUAAAAAUAAGCACAAACACUAAUGGCCUCUUCAAUGGUUGUGGAACGAUAUUAUCGUUAAUGGACUUCUAUCCUCAAAGUCCACUCUCUGCCUAAAAUUUGCUUGGUGUCAUUGGACAAUUUCAGGCAAUAUUGCUUAGGCUAAUUCUGUCUGAAUGAGUUAAUGGCCAACAUGGGCGCUCCUCUGGGGAUUUCAGAUGGCAGAGAUGUAAAAUAUUUAGUGUGAUAAGGACUGAUACUGUUUCAAAACAGUCCUGAACAACACAUCAAAACCAAUUUUUGAAAUGCCAGAACUAUGUCUCCUGCAUAACAGUAUAUUUACUAGCUUCUCUUCUUUACAGAAAUAAUGAUGGAAAAAAAAAAAAACAGAAAAAAAACACUAAAGUCAAAAGCAGGAGUAUUUGAUGGAUUUUUAUAAAUA